rnacentral:rRNA from 1 species
UUAAGUUAGAAAGGGCGCACGGUGGAUGCCUUGGCACUAGGAGCCGAUGAAGGACGGGACGAACACCGAUAUGCUUCGGGGAGCUGUAAGCAAGCUUUGAUCCGGAGAUUUCCGAAUGGGGAAACCCACCACUCGUAAUGGAGUGGUAUCCAUAUCUGAAUACAUAGGAUAUGAGAAGGCAGACCCGGGGAACUGAAACAUCUAAGUACCCGGAGGAAGAGAAAGCAAAUGCGAUUCCCUGAGUAGCGGCGAGCGAAACGGGAUCAGCCCAAACCAAGAGGCUUGCCUCUUGGGGUUGUAGGACACUCUGUACGGAGUUACAAAGGAACGAGGUAGAUGAAGAGGUCUGGAAAGGCCCGCCAUAGGAGGUAACAGCCCUGUAGUCAAAACUUCGUUCUCUCCUGAGUGGAUCCUGAGUACGGCGGAACACGUGAAAUUCCGUCGGAAUCCGGGAGGACCAUCUCCCAAGGCUAAAUACUCCCUAGUGACCGAUAGUGAACCAGUACCGUGAGGGAAAGGUGAAAAGCACCCCGGAAGGGGAGUGAAAGAGAUCCUGAAACCGUGUGCCUACAAGUAGUCAGAGCCCGUUAACGGGUGAUGGCGUGCCUUUUGUAGAAUGAACCGGCGAGUUACGAUCCCGUGCAAGGUUAAGCAGAAGAUGCGGAGCCGCAGCGAAAGCGAGUCUGAAUAGGGCGAAUUGAGUACGUGGUCGUAGACCCGAAACCAGGUGAUCUACCCAUGUCCAGGGUGAAGUUCAGGUAACACUGAAUGGAGGCCCGAACCCACGCACGUUGAAAAGUGCGGGGAUGAGGUGUGGGUAGGGGUGAAAUGCCAAUCGAACCUGGAGAUAGCUGGUUCUCUCCGAAAUAGCUUUAGGGCUAGCCUCAAGGUAAGAGUCUCGGAGGUAGAGCACUGAUUGGACUAGGGGCCCCUACCGGGUUACCGAAUUCAGUCAAACUCCGAAUGCCGAUGACUUAUCCUUGGGAGUCAGACUGCGAGUGAUAAGAUCCGUAGUCGAAAGGGAAACAGCCCAGACCGCCAGCUAAGGUCCCAAAGUAUACGUUAAGUGGAAAAGGAUGUGGAGUUGCUUAGACAACCAGGAUGUUGGCUUAGAAGCAGCCACCAUUUAAAGAGUGCGUAAUAGCUCACUGGUCGAGUGACUCUGCGCCGAAAAUGUACCGGGGCUAAACGUAUCACCGAAGCUGCGGACUGUUCUUCGAACAGUGAUAGGAGAGCGUUCUAAGGGCUGUGAAGCAAGACCGGAAGGACUUGUGGAGCGCUUAGAAGUGAGAAUGCCGGUAUGAGUAGCGAAAGAGGGGUGAGAAUCCCCUCCACCGAAUGCCUAAGGUUUCCUGAGGAAGGCUCGUCCGCUCAGGGUUAGUCGGGACCUAAGCCGAGGCCGAAAGGCGUAGGCGAUGGAUAACAGGUUGAUAUUCCUGUACCACCUCCUCACCAUUUGAGCAAUGGGGGGACGCAGGAGGAUAGGGUAAGCGCGGUAUUGGAUAUCCGCGUCCAAGCAGUUAGGCUGGGAAAUAGGCAAAUCCGUUUCCCGUGAAGGCUGAGCUGUGAUGGCGAGCGAAUUAUAGUAGCGAAGUUCCUGAUUCCACACUGCCAAGAAAAGCCUCUAGCGAGGUGAGAGGUGCCCGUACCGCAAACCGACACAGGUAGGCGAGGAGAGAAUCCUAAGGUGAUCGAGAGAACUCUCGUUAAGGAACUCGGCAAAAUGACCCCGUAACUUCGGGAGAAGGGGUGCUCUGUUAGGGUGCAAGCCCGAGAGAGCCGCAGUGAAUAGGCCCAGGCGACUGUUUAGCAAAAACACAGGUCUCUGCGAAGCCGUAAGGCGAAGUAUAGGGGCUGACGCCUGCCCGGUGCUGGAAGGUUAAGAGGAGCGCUUAGCGUAAGCGAAGGUGCGAAUUGAAGCCCCAGUAAACGGCGGCCGUAACUAUAACGGUCCUAAGGUAGCGAAAUUCCUUGUCGGGUAAGUUCCGACCCGCACGAAAGGCGCAACGAUCUGGGCACUGUCUCAACGAGAGACUCGGUGAAAUUAUAGUACCUGUGAAGAUGCAGGUUACCCGCGACAGGACGGAAAGACCCCGUGGAGCUUUACUGCAGCCUGAUAUUGAAUGUUGGUACAGCUUGUACAGGAUAGGUAGGAGCCUUGGAAACCGGAGCGCCAGCUUCGGUGGAGGCAUCGGUGGGAUACUACCCUGGCUGUAUUGACCUUCUAACCCGCCGCCCUUAUCGGGCGGGGAGACAGUGUCAGGUGGGCAGUUUGACUGGGGCGGUCGCCUCCUAAAAGGUAACGGAGGCGCCCAAAGGUUCCCUCAGAAUGGUUGGAAAUCAUUCGCAGAGUGUAAAGGCACAAGGGAGCUUGACUGCGAGACCUACAAGUCGAGCAGGGACGAAAGUCGGGCUUAGUGAUCCGGUGGUUCCGCAUGGAAGGGCCAUCGCUCAACGGAUAAAAGCUACCCCGGGGAUAACAGGCUUAUCUCCCCCAAGAGUCCACAUCGACGGGGAGGUUUGGCACCUCGAUGUCGGCUCAUCGCAUCCUGGGGCUGUAGUCGGUCCCAAGGGUUGGGCUGUUCGCCCAUUAAAGCGGUACGCGAGCUGGGUUCAGAACGUCGUGAGACAGUUCGGUCCCUAUCCGUCGCGGGCGCAGGAAAUUUGAGAGGAGCUGUCCUUAGUACGAGAGGACCGGGAUGGACGCACCGCUGGUGUACCAGUUGUUCUGCCAAGGGCAUCGCUGGGUAGCUAUGUGCGGACGGGAUAAGUGCUGAAAGCAUCUAAGCAUGAAGCCCCCCUCAAGAUGAGAUUUCCCAUUCCGCAAGGAAGUAAGAUCCCUGAAAGAUGAUCAGGUUGAUAGGUCUGAGGUGGAAGUGUGGCGACACAUGGAGCUGACAGAUACUAAUCGAUCGAGGACUUAACCAA